rnacentral:lncRNA from 10 species
GGCUCCAGGGCCCAUGCUCUAACUACUAUACUAUACUGCUUCUGCAACAAAAAAGAGAAUGAUCUUUUCUAAUUCCUACAAAGCUUUAUCCUCCUAUCAAGUAUGCCAAUUUACAUUCUUUAAGCAGACACAUGGACCCAGGUUCAUCUUAAUGUAAAACCAAGGAUCAACUUUAGUCUCAUCCAAAACACAUCAGCUCUCUUAAACACACCAAACGUUACCCCCUUUAAAACAUAAAAUACACUGAGAUCGCUGUUCAAGCAUCAUACUUUCUAACAACAGGAAAUGUUUGCAGAAUUAAGGCCCUGGACACCUUCUUCAGUUUAAGCAGUCAGCACUUGAUGGAUCUUUUGUAGCUGUAACAGAAUUU